GUGAGCUGAAAGCGGUUCGGGGGAUGCCCCCCCUUCGGGGGGCAUACCUGAAUGGGGACGGGAUCAGCUCAGCCCUCUGCCACAAGGAGAAGUUCUGGGUGUGCAGCAGAGCCGACAGCUACGUCUGCUGGAGGAAGGAGAAAUACCCAGAAUGACAAAUCCCAUCCGCACCAAGCUCGUGCCAACACUACUGGUCUCUGUGAUGCCACUGGUGUAUACUGGAAUCUGCCUCUUUCCAGCACUGCUGCAGCGGUUCCUGCAUGGAUCCACACAACUCUGCUGGUCGUUAUCUCUCAGGCGCUAUGUCUGUUCCUGUGUGCCUUAAAGGGAGGGUCUUCUGAGGGUCCUUAGAGGUCGCAGCAGCUUGGAAGGAUCCCACGGUGCUGCCCCACUGCGGCCGGACCCGAGGGCGGGGUAUUCCUGCUCUCCUUUCGGGCUCUGUGUGACACUGCGGUGCCACCACCAUGUCACAUCGCGCUUCCAUCGCUGCCAGCCACUGUCUGACUUUGGCUCUGGGCAGUGAUGUAUGGAAUCAAACUCUUUAACCUAUCUAAGUUAAAUAGGUUAUAAGGCUGUACCUCAUUGUGAACUUCCGAGCUUUUAAGGGGGGUGUAGCCCAAACCAGCUUGUAUUGCUGUGUUGAGCUGAGGCAUAUCUUUACUGUCCUGUCUCAACAACGGGGAAUCUCUUCUCUGUUCUUGUUGUUUGGCAUCGAGCUUCUGCGGACUUGAGCUGAUGUGUACACAGGGACCUUGUCCUUCUGCUUGUAUCCACUCAAGUUAUGUGAAAAAGGCCGUUCUCAAAAUAUGGAAAAGCUGUUGUUAUGAUUCAGUCCACCCUUUUCUAUAUCCCAGGCAAAUCCUUCUGUCUGCAACGCACUGUUGUCCAUUAACACCGUCCUGAAUUACUCUCCUGGUUCCCUCCGGUGCCUCAUCCGAUGUCUCUUCCAGGUGUUGCAGUCAUCUGGAUUUUUUCAACAGCACCAGAACGCACACCUAUGCAGGCUGCUGCUGUGCAGAUAAUCAAUACAAUUACUACAAUUACAAAUAGUUGCUUUAGCCAGGCCCAGCUGGGGAGCUGUCGCGAACCCCAAUUCCAGGUUGUCGCGGAUUCCCCAGGGCUCGGAGAACCAGAAUCUAGUCAGUUCGCUGGCCAAGCCGCGUGGGGAGUGCUGACAUGACCCAAUACGAGUGCAUCAAAAUCUCCGUUUGUUAUCCGUUGCUUACCCAUGUAUAUAGAUUGUGGCAAACGUGCGUCAGCUCGUAAUUGGUUGAAACAUUGCGAGAGCCCCCGGCCCUACAAUCCCAUUGGCCGUAGAGUCACACAUCUUGCUCGCCUAGCUACAGAUACAGCAUUAAUCGUCCCAUUGUUCUUUGUAUUUCAUUACUCAGUCUCUUCCCAGGCUAACUUCCCCCUUAUCUUAGCUGCAACCUCAGCUCCUUCUCUGUGCAUUCAUAACCUCAAGGUCUCCUAGCCUGAGCUGUGCACGGAGCGCCCGAGCUCAGCAAGUCCUUUCUUCCUGAGCCAUCAUAGCAUAGCAAGCUAGUACUUUUCCAAUUGUAUCUCCUGCCAACUAUAAGGCCCGUCCUGCUCGUACAACCGUUCAAGAGACCCGUGGCCCCCUUGGUUAUCGAGCCAUUCCUCAACAGGGAGCCGAGAUGUUGGCUUCUUGCAGAGUUCCGAAAUUGCACUCGUUACCUCACGGUGUGUCAUCCUGGGUUGCCUGGUGUAAGACUUUCACACGAUCCCAGGUUUUCUGAACGCCGACCUCUAUUUUACCAUACCCAUCUAUGUGAGUGCAACAACUAGUGUUAAUCAGGACACGUACCCCCCCGUAUGAGCCAUUAUUAUAUCCAAAGCCAUUCUAUUUUGAAAGACCGUCCCUUUCAAUGAGUCUACCUCCCAGUUCGAGUGAUAAGGAACUUCAGUGCUUGGAUUUGCUGUUACCUCAAUUUCUGCUGAAAUAUUCACUAUAGCCCAUUCCAGCUGUGCUAUACGUAAGGAGGGGAUUGAAGGGCAAAAUCAGGUCCCCGCAGUAUAGAAAGAAGGGCUUCAUAGCAAGAAAAGAGAAAGCAGCUUCACAAAGCAGACAUAAGGGGCAAAUAGAGAUAGUUUAUGUAGAGAGCAUUAGAAAACAAGGGGUUCCAAGCACUUUCACAGGCGCUAGGUCCGGAAUAACAAGGAGAGUGAAGGCCAUAAGGAUAAGGACCGGAGAACAACUCGAAAACAUUUGGCAGGGAGGUGAUUGGAUGACUACAGGGCAAGCUGAAGCCGGUUCGGGGGAUGCCCUCCAUCUUCAGGGUCAGAAGUUUGCAGCGAGGAAGACUACGAGCCUUCAUCAUCACGACCCGCUACGCACACGCAAGGACACGAGCUUCCUGCCUUCAGAUCCUUCUCUACGGACCGUUUGCUGACGGACUUCCCUGGGCCUGCUACCUGAGACCUGCUGCUUCCUCCCUGACCUGCAUCCUCUGGUUGCCCAAGACCCCCCUCGCUGCUCCUGCCCUUCGGCCUCGGACCGUCGGAACAUCGUGCAACGGACUGCUGCCGGAUCCUGGUGGUGCCUAUCCCCG
rnacentral:lncRNA from 1 species